AUUGAACGCUGGCGGGAGGAGGAACACAGGCAAGUCGAGCGGAUGAAGGGAGCUUGCUCCUGGAUCAGCGGCGGACGGGUGAGUAAUGCCUCGGAAUCUGCCUGGGAGUGGGGGAUAACGUCCGGAAACGGGCGCUAAUACCGCAUACGUCCUGAGGGAGAAAGUGGGGGAUCUUCGGACCUCACGCUAUCAGAUGAGCCUAGGUCGGAUUAGCUAGUUGGUGGGGUAAAGGCCUACCAAGGCGACGAUCCGUAACUGGUCUGAGAGGAUGAUCAGUCACACUGGAACUGAGACACGGUCCAGACUCCUACGGGAGGCAGCAGUGGGGAAUAUUGGACAAUGGGCGAAAGCCUGAUCCAGCCAUGCCGCGUGUGUGAAGAAGGUCUUCGGAUUGUAAAGCACUUUAAGUUGGGAGGAAGGGCAGUAAGUUAAUACCUUGCUGUUUUGACGUUACCAACAGAAUAAGCACCGGCUCACUUCGUC
rnacentral:rRNA from 1 species